AGAGUUUGAUCAUGGCACAGGAUGAACGCUAGCUACAGGCUUAACACAUGCAAGUCGAGGGGCAUCAUGUCGGUUGCUUGCAACCGAUGAUGGCGACCGGCGCACGGGUGAGUAACGCGUAUCCAACCUUCCGCACACUAAGGGAUAACCCGUUGAAAGACGGCCUAAUACCUUAUGUUCUCCACGGCAGACAUCUAAUGUGGAGCAAAGAUUCAUCGGUGUGUGAUGGGGAUGCGUCUGAUUAGGCAGUUGGCGGGGUAACGGCCCACCAAACCGACGAUCAGUAGGGGUUCUGAGAGGAAGGUCCCCCACAUUGGAACUGAGACACGGUCCAAACUCCUACGGGAGGCAGCAGUGAGGAAUAUUGGUCAAUGGGCGAGAGCCUGAACCAGCCAAGUAGCGUGCAGGACGACGGCCCUAUGGGUUGUAAACUGCUUUUAUGCGGGGAUAAAACGCGGGACGUGUCCCGCCUUGCAGGUACCGCAUGAAUAAGGACCGGCUAAUUCCGUGCCAGCAGCCGCGGUAAUACGGAAGGU
rnacentral:rRNA from 1 species